rnacentral:hammerhead_ribozyme from 1 species
AUGCGAAACCCGCCCUGGCACGUCCAGGGCGCGGUCGGCCGGGCGUGGUGGCCCGGUCCUGAUGAUGCAGCCGAGG